GUUGUUUCCAGCUGGAAAUUGCUUGGAAAAUGAAGACACGUGUGUGAAUAUGUGUAACAGCAGGAGAAAUGUUGCAGCUCUCCAUGAUUUGUAAACCUGGAAGAUUUGUAGGGAUUUUUAUGUUUUCCUGUGCUGUUGAUUGCGCUGGGACUAAUACCAAGACAAUCGAGUACCUCCUUGGGUGGGCAGAACAAAAGUCACAGCACCCUCAGGAGAGAGACAGCGUGUGAUGAGGAGGGACGGCUUCGUGCGGGAGACAGGGCAGAGAUGGAGGAAACCUGGGUCCUGCUGCAGCACCCUUCCCGCUACCCUGAAGAAAGCAGAGAGGGUGCUGCUUCAAAUGUGCUGCUUCAAAUAAUCAUGAAGCCUGGAUUAUUCAGACAAAUUCUGGGGCAGACUUCUGGCUUUUAAAUGCUUCCUGGAAUGACUUUGUGAAAAAUGAGG